rnacentral:rRNA from 1 species
UCCAGUGACUUUGCUGUAGGUGUAACACCCGUUCCCAUACCGAAUACGGCAGUUAAGCCCUACAAGGUCGAUGGUACUACGUUCACACGGGCGUGGGAGAGUAGAACGUCACUGGU